UAGGGAAUCUUCGGCAAUGGGGGGAACCCUGACCGAGCAACGCCGCGUGAGUGAAGAAGGUUUUCGGUUCGUAAAACUCUGUUGUUAGAGAAGAACAGCGCAUAGAGUAACUGGUAUGCGUGUGACGGUAUCUAACCAGAAAGCCACGGCUAACUACGUGCCAGCAGCCGCGGUAAUACGUAGGUGGCAAGCGUUGUCCGGAUUUAUUGGGCGUAAAGCGAGCGCAGGCGGUCAAUUAAGUCUGAUGUGAAAGCCCCCGGCUCAACCGGGGAGGGUCAUUGGAAACUGGUUGACUUGAGUGCAGAAGAGGAGGGUGGAAUUCCAUGUGUAGCGGUGACAUGCGUAGAUAUAUGGAGGAACACCGGUAGCGAAAGCGGCUCUCUGGUCUGUAACUGACGCUGAGGCUCGAAAGCGUGGGGAGCGAACAGG
rnacentral:rRNA from 1 species